CUAUAUCAUGCUAAAUUCUUAUCGGUAUAAUUCGAUUGCGUAAUUAUUUUUUAAAGUAUACUUCAAGAAGAAUUAUAUUUCAAUUUAUUUACAGCGCUCAAUUAUAAAAGUGUAAUACAUUUUGUGUUGCGUUUUGUUUUUGAUUUAUUUACACUUAUAUGACGUAUGUUAUGAGGCAGAAGUACUUCUUUUUUAUCGUUUCCGUAUUCAAGAACUUGUGAACGUGCAUUUAAACAGUCCAACCUACCUCGUCCAUUUGCUGAUCUUCUUCGACCUUGGGCUCGGCCCAUGGUUGCAAUUCUCCAGAGGCGAAUAUUCCGUAGAACACCACCCCAAUAUAGUGAAUGACAGCGGCCAGUAUAAAUACCUCGCUCCAGCUCUGCCUCGUCUACAACAAUUUCAAAACCAAUCAGGGUUACACUGAUUAAUACAAUAUUGUAUAUUGAUUGGUCCACACGUGGUUUCUCAACUAACUGUAAUAGUUCGGGCAGGAUUGUGCGAGACUGGGAUGGGACGGAUUCACUG